CUGCAAGAUACGACUGGGUGGGUGGGUUCCUGAGCCAUCUUUUCAUCUUUUGCUUCCAGAAAUCUACCCCUGAACAUCAUUCAUAAAUGUACCAAAGUGAGAAAUAGGACAGCAUUCAUCUGAUGUAGAAUGCCUUUCUCUAUAAAGAGAGAACAGAUAAGAUCCCCUUCCUCUCUGCUCAUGUUGAGGAAAUAAGACGUGAUCUGCAAUUCGCAGGGCAAGUGACUGUUCAAUGGGCACUUCCGCUGCCUUAGCGUCAGUUUUUCCCAUGCAGAACUCCAAGGUCAUGACUGAGAGACGAUGCCACCAACUACGCACAAAAUGCGCAGGCCUACCAACCUGACCCGAAGGAGCAGUUUUGGUCAAAAGAAGAAACUGAAGGACUUGAAGAGAGGAAGUCUGCGGAGCUCAGACACACACUCUUGGAAGCCAGUGUGCAGCUGGUAGUCCCAGGGAGCCCCUAAACAUCGUGGAGCACCAAUCCAGUGGAGUUUUGUCUCAUGAAGACUGCUAUGUUCAAGGAGGAAGAGCUCUAACAACAGUUGUCCAGCUGUUGGCUGAGGCUGCAUUUCACCUCCUAGAGGACAAGGACACCCACACUUCCUAGCCACAGGGAUGUCCCCAGCGUGGCUGCUUACUUCAUUCAUCAAGACAGACAGGCAAUCUCUAGAGGGCGUCUGCUAGCAAGAGAGAGCCUUUUAUGAUGUAUUGUAGUUGCAGAGUGACAUCUAUCACCUUCCCUACAUGUAUUGUUUACAAGCAAGUCACGAUCCCACCCACACUUAGGAGGGCAGAGGUCAGGAGUUGGGAAUCAUAGGAGCCACCUGGAGACUGUUACGUAGCAUAUCACUGUCGCUUUAAAUGGCUAACAAUCCUGAACAUAAUCCUUAAAUUCAUAAAACAUAGAACACUAAGCUAAAUCUAAACCCAGAUUAUAUCUGAUCUCAAAGUACAUGGCUUUCUUACUUCUCUUGCCAUAUUUUAAAUUAAUAUGUAUAAACUAUGGAGUGUACAGAUUCACUUCAAACUAGGUUUCCAACAUUUGAGCAAAUCCCCAAAAUGAAGAGGAAGAGUAAAGGUCUGAGAGUUCAAUGGUAUCUAGCCAUUUACGGUGUGUAGGAAUUUCAGUAUGUUUUUAUUCAGUUUUAG